rnacentral:rRNA from 1 species
UUUUUUAUAAAAAUAAUUUAUUUAUUUAAGGUUUUAGUAUUUAUUAAAAAUUAAUUUAUAGAUUUAUAGUUUAAUAGUAUUGUCAAAGAAAUUAUUAAAUUUAAAAAAGAAUUUAUUAGUACCUUUUGUAUCAGGGUUGAUUAAAAUUUUUAAUUUUUUUUUAAUUUCUCAAAAUUUAUAGAGUUAAUUUUAUUAUUAAUUUAUUGUGUUAUAAAUAUUUAAAAAAUAAUAUUAGUUUUGAAAUUUAAUUCGUUAUAUUAUAUUUAGUUAUUUAAGAUUUAAAUUUAAUUUAAAAUUUUAAAAGUUAUAUUAAUUUUAUUGAUUAAUAUUUUAAAUUUAAAUUAUUUUAGGGAUAAGCUUGAAAUUUUUAUAUAAUAAUAUAUUUAUUUUAAUAAUUUAUAGGAAUAGAAAUUUUUAUUUUAAGUUUGUAAAAAUUUAUUAUUUGUUUAAUUUUAAUUUAUUAUAUUUAUAUUUAUUUUUUUUAUUAAAUUUUAUUAAUUAAUAUUUAAUUAAUAGUAAUAAUGAUUAAAUUAGUAUAAUAUAAAUAUUUAUAAAUUAUGAAUUCGGCAAAAAUUAUUUUCAUCUGUUUAACAAAAACAUUGUAUUAAGUUUAAUUUAAUAUAGGAUCUGCUCAAUGAUUUAUUAAAUAGCUGCAGUAUUUUGACUGUGCAAAGGUAGCAUAAUAAUUAGUCUUUUAAUUGAGGACUUGAAUGAAAGAUUUGAUGAGAAAUAAACUUUAUUAUUUAUAAAAUUAAAAUUUUAUUUUUAAGUAAAAAAGCUUAAAUUAUUUAAAGGGACGAUAAGACCCUAUAAAACUUUAUAAAUUUUGAUUUUAAUUUUUUUGGAUUUAUAAAUAUUUUAUUAUUAAAAUUUAUUUUAUUGGGGUGAUAAAAAAAAUUAUUAAACUUUUUUUAAAGUUUAACAUUAUUUAAUGAAUAUUUGAAUUAAAAUUUUUAAUUAAAGGAAAAAGUUACUUUAGGGAUAACAGCGUAAUUAAUUUUUUAAGUUCAAAUUUAAAAAUUAGUUUGCGACCUCGAUGUUGAAUUAAGACUAAUCUUACGUGCAAACUUUUAAAUAUUAGGCCUGUUCGCCCUCUAAA